GUCCAGGUCUGCAGCAACGUCAAUUCUUGCCUCCUAAGAAGGAAGAAUUCGACUGAGGGGCACAAAGCAGAAAGGGCGACUGAGUCAAGUUCCAGAGCAGGAAUGAAAGUUUAUUUUAAAAUGCCUUAGAACAGGAACGAAAUGAAGGUGUGCAUGGAAAAGACCCACGCAGGCACAUGAAGGUUAAAGAGAGAAGAGAUGGAUCUCAAAAAAGAAAUCAAAACUGGCUCAGAUUUCCCAAGGAUUUCCAUAUCUAUAUACUAGAAGAUAAUUCAGACUUAUGCAUCUGAGAAGGGAAUUUCCAGAACCAAAUGUGGAGCUGGGAAAAGGCCAUAAUCUGAAGGGGAAAUGAAGCCUGAGUCUUGCAUGACAUGUCCUCCAGAAAAUAGUGAUCAUCUGGACCAUGAAGUUGAGAGGGAUGACCAGAGGCAGCCUGCUACAUCAGGAGUGAGAGAAUUAGAAGAAACUAUUCUAAAAUGUAUAUGGAACCAAAAAAAGCCCAAAUGGCCAAGGCAUUCUUAAGUAAAAAGAAUAAAUUCAGAAGAAUCACGUUACCUAAUUUCAAACCAUACUACAAUGCUAUGAUAACUAAAGCAGCAUGAUACUGGUACAAAAAUAGAUGCAUAGAUGUAUGGAAUAGAAUAGAAAAUGCUGAAAUGAAGCCACACACCUACAACCAACUGAUCUUUGACAAAACUGACAAAAAUAUACAGUGGGGAAAAGACACUUUAUUCAACAAAUGGUGUUGGGAAAACUGGCUAACCAUACGCAGAAGAAUGAAACUGGACCCCUACCUGUAACCAGAUACAAAAAUUAACUCCAGAUGGGUUAAAGGGUUAAAU
rnacentral:lncRNA from 1 species